rnacentral:rRNA from 2 species
GAUUUCUGGUGUGGUGCGCCGAGCCCGCCGUCGUUUAGGCGGUGAGUGCUUGUUCGCGCGCCUACCAUCCUUCCGGAGAGUGCAGCCUACCCUUAACUGGGCCGGGUUGUACGAUCUGGAUCGUUUACUUUGAAAAAAUUAGAGUGUUUAAAGCAGGCGUUUGCUAUGAAUACAUUAGCAUGGAAUAAUAAGAUAGGACUUUGGUCUUAUUUUGUUGGUUUCUAGGACUGAAGUAAUGAUUGAUAGGGACAGUUGGGGGUGCUAGUAUUUAACGGCCAGAGGUGAAAUUCUUGGAUUCGUUAAAGACUAACUUAUGCGAAAGCAUU